UUAAUGUAUUAAAAUAUAUUAUCCUGUUUCUAGUCUCUAAAUGGAUCUCUUCAUCGUUUAUUUUGAAACUUGAUGUGUCGCGACGGUUAACGGAACAAAGAUUAACUCUUGUCCUUUUUCGUCGGCACACAUAGCAGCAACCCAUGGCAGCAACCGAGUUAAAGGGGGUGGAGAUUUAAAGGGCACGCAGGCGGCUGACAGCAUCACUUCCGCCUCCGUCAUCUCGGAAUCAGUGGGAGGAAGCAGAGGAUGAGAUCCGCUGAAGAUGCUCCGUUGCGUCUGUUUUCUUACUUUAUUUUCCUUAAAAUAAAAAAGAAGAAGAAAAAAAGUCAAAUAAAAAAUGUAAACGGAC